CUUCCCGCCUCAGCUACAGGCCUGUGGGGCCGCCUUCCGGGCGCCGCAGCCGCCUGGGCUGUGUGGUUCCAUCUUGCAGAUGGGAUCAGAUGGCCCUGGAGGUGGGGUCCCCCGGGUGUGCGCCCCAGACGUGCAAGCGCCUCCCCACGCCCCAUCAAUAAGGGUCACAGCCCCCUCCCCAGACCUGGCGGGGCCUCCCAGCCCUUCACGCAGCGCUGACGGGGCCUCUGCCCACCGGCCACCCUGGUCUCAAGACGGAGCCCACGUCUCCUGCUUGGGCUGGAUGAGUGACCCUUCCCUGCGGCCAUGAACAGGGAGCUUUAAACGUGUUGAGGUUGGACCCUGCCCAGCCCGGCUGAACCCCACUCUGUAGGAGGCGCAGGCAUCAGACGCCGGGGACGUCAUGGUGGAGGAGACUACCCGUGAGCCCGGUGACGUCACGGUGGAGACCACCCGCGAGGCUGGUGACGUCACAGUGCAGGAGACCACCGCGAACCUGGUGACGUCACGGUGGGGGAGACCACCCCGAGCCCUGUGACGUCACGGUGGAGGAGACCACCCUGAGCCUGGUGACGUCACGGGUGGAGGAGACCGCCCCGAGCCCUGUGACUUCACGGUGGAGGAGACCACCCUGAGCCCGGUGACGUCACGGGUGGAGGAGACCGCCCCGAGCCCUGUGACUUCACGGUGGAGGAGUCCACCCCGAGCCUGGUGACAUCAUGGUGGAGGAGACCGCCCCUGAGCCCGGGUGCCCCUGAUCCCAGGCACUGGAUGGGAUCCCCGGGGGCCAUGUUUUAAAAUCAGUUUAUUUGCUCUCUCAUCUAUAAAUUAUUUUUUAAUUGCAAUAAGACCGCCUACUCAAAAAGAGUUCUGGAGACAGAUGAUGGUGGUGUCUGCAUGUAGGAAUGUAUUUAAUGCCACUGAACUGAACACUUAAAAAUGGUUAAGACGGCACACUUUUUGUUACCUGUAUUUACCACAAUAAAAAAUUGGGAGAAAAAGUAAACACUGACCUUUCAAACACACUAGCUGGUCCUGAGGAUGUGCGUUUUGUGUUAGUGAGGCAUAAAGGAACCUCAGAGCGUUGGCCAAAAGAUGUGGCCAUUAAUAAACUAUGAUUUGGGGUAAAUGUCUGAGCCUCAUUUUUUCAACUGUAUAAGGGAGAUUAAAAAUAACAUAGUCCUCUGUGAUGUGGGGGCAAAUAACAAAUGUUUGCUUUGGUAACUGCAAAUUGUGAAUAAAUGUCACUGUAUAGUUAAAAAACAACAGCAGCUCAUCUGGUCAGCACAGCACCACCAGCCUCCCUCAUGGCAGAAACCCAACAUCUGGUCAGCAUAGCACCGCUAGCCUCCUUCAUGGCAGAAACCCAACUCUGGUGUAGCGUCAGCACUGAACAACAGAUGGAACAUUAGCCCAGGACACAUAGCGGAUCCUGAAGACAGGCAUUUGCUCGUGGGUUGAAUUUGGAGAAGCACAACACAUUCAGAGGGUAACUGUUCCUGAUCUUCAAGGUCGUCCAUUAAUAAGUGUUCAAAGUUGGUUUGUUCUCCAGUUUUCGACGUAUCUGUGUGUACAGUGAAGUGUCAAGAACUCCAGCCUCCACCGAUUCGAGACCACUUGUCCUCUGUACAAAUACUUAGCCUGGCAGCAGAGCGAAGAAGAGACUGCAGGGCAUGUUUGUUCUCUGCAGAUGCUGGCACCACCCACGAAAGGCAAACAACUGUGUCUGUGGAGCUGGAUCCCCUCUGGUCACAGGGAACAGCCAGACUUCCUGGGACAGGGGUCAGAAGGCGGGAGACAGGCAGGGGCAGCCAGUGAGGAAGGAACCAGGACGAGGUCCCAGUAGACGCCCGGGAGGAGACAGCCCAAGCGGAGGAGAGGCCUGGAAGCAGGCGGGCGCCCUGAGCCUUCAUGUCCCCUUUGCUGGGGUUUGCCUCAAUCAAUACUUUUUGGACAAGACCUGGAUUGAGACAGAAAGUUGAUAUUAUACAAACUAAGAGCGCGUGGCUGUCUGUGGGGACAGGACCAGGAAGAAGCCGCCUGGUUGCUCUCAGGCCACCUCGGAGAAGGUGGGAGGUGACUUCAAGACAGAGAGGACACCAGAGAGGCUGCUCCCAGCCAGCAGAGCCGAGCACAGGUGUGGAGCCUCGAAGUGGCCUUGACUCCAAGGGGACUUUGGAGCAAGCCCAGCAGCGGAGCCAGGCAAUGGGUGGGGUUUGUCCGCCAGAGAAGGGCAGAGCAGAGGCCCAGCCAGAACUUUCAACCUGAAACCCAGGAUCCCUCAGACCCUCUGAUCGGCAGAAGCUCCUUUAACUGGGAAUUUGUUUAUAUUUCAAGUGAACUGUUGCUAAACGCUGUGUUUUAGGCUAGAUGAAUCAAGGCCUGGCACACCUGACGAUGUCAAAGGGGGCCUGGGAGCUGGAGACUUCCGUGUCCAUGGGCAAAAGCAGGGUGGUGCUCAGGUGCUGGGAGGAGGUCCUGGGCCUCUGUGUCCUUGCAGCAGGAGGCUGGAUGUAGAAGAGAAGGCAGCCGCCUGGGCGUUCAGUGCCGCCCGACAGACGGCCCCACCUCUGCCACAGCCCUUCCCGCCUGGUCCAUGCCCUGCACCAACCCCAAAGUGACCUCUGUAAAACUCAGGGCCAUUUUCCUGACGGAAAUUCCACAAUGACCUUCAAUCUUAGUCGUACAAUGGAAUCUCUUGUAGAUAUAUAUAUUUUUAAAUGCUCACACCUGGGCAUCACCAGAAAUUUAGGCCUCAUUGGUCUGGGCUGGAGUCCGGGCACUGUUAAAAGCCCCAGGUGAUCCUGACACAGCCGGGUGGGGUUGGCACAGGUGGAAUCCCUCCUUCAUGAUGUCCCGGCAGCUGCUUGAACCACCCCAAGCAUCAUCUCGCAAACAGCAGCGAUGAUAAUGAAAUGCCCACCUGCACCUGAGGUCCUGCAGUCCUGCAGCCGCCAAGCUGGUCCACACCUGCAACCGAGGUCCUGCAGCCACCAAGCUGGUCCACACCUGCACCUGAGGUCCUGCAGCCGCCAAGCUGGUCCACACUUGCACCCGAGGUCCUGCAGUCCUGCAGCCCUGCAGCCACCAAGCUAGUCCACGCCUGCACCCGAGGUCCUGCAGCCGCCAAGCUGGUCCACGCCUGCACCCGAGGUCCUGCAGCCGCCAAGCUGAUCCACGCCUGCACCCAAGGUCCUGCAGCCACCAAGCUGGUCCACACCUGCACCUGAGGUCCUGCAGUCCUGCAGCCACCAAGCUGGUCCACACCUGCACCCGAGGUCAUGCAGCCACCAAGCUGGUCCACGCCUGCACCUGAGGUCCUGCAGCCCUGUGGCCACCAAGCUGGUCCACGCCUGCACCCGAGGUCCUGCAGUCCUGUGGCUGCCAAGCUUGUCCAUGCCCUGUAACCUGCUUGAAAGGCACUUUAAGACCUGCACCCGAGGUCCUGCAGUCCUGUGGUCCUGUGGCCACCAAGCUGGCCCAUGCCCCUGUCACUUGCUUGAAAAACGCUUCAACACCUGGCUUCCACAUCCCUUCCUGGAGCUUCCCAGAGCCUCCAGUGAGUCUGCAGCUCCCAGCUCUGCACUGCCUGAAAUCACAGGGAGACGUACGUGUCAAGGUGCGAGUGCCAUGCCUGUCCUCUCAGGAACAGCAUUCUGAGCUCCUCACUGUGGAAGCUGCUCUGGUCUCUGCUUCCACGUGGGCACAGGCCAUCAUGCAGCAAGGUGUGAGCGAGGACCCCACUCUCAAAAUGCAACACGCUUGACUGUCCAAUACACACAAGGACUCAUGUGCACACACAAGUGUCUACACAUGUCCACACAGUACAUAUGCCCACACACACGGUACAGUCAUACACGUGCACACAAGUGCAAUGCACACAUCCAUGUGUCUGCACAUGUUCACAUGUGAAGACGUGUUUGCAUGUGUAUUCACAUGUGUGGACACCUGUGCACACCCCCGCACCACCACUGUCACCACUGUGUCUCUGGUGGUAGUGAGAGGGUAAGGGUAAGAAUUUCUGGAUCCCACAUACGAUAUCCUAAAGCAAAAUGCCCUCACGCCUCCUCCCUGAGAGAAGACGCAGCAGCCACAGGAAGUGAGCUUCUUGGACAAGGAACAUCAGGCGUCCAGUGCCCCACCGGCUUCCUGGUGCCUAGUCCCCUAAAGAGGUGAGAGGUGCUGAUAAAAUGAGCUGCUGUGCUGAUGCCUGGGGUGACUGGGGUGGAGGGAUGUGGGGGCGGCAGCCCUGUUGUCCUGGAGCUGCUCCUUCUCCCCACUGCAUCACUCCUGGGCCUCUCCUGGAGGCCUGAGCCAUCCUCCCCAGGGCAGCCCCAGGCUGUGCUGCCUGAGCAAACCCAGAGCCCAGCCCUCCCUCCCCCUGCAGCCUGAGGGCAGGGACCAUGGCAAGCCCUUCUCCUACAGCCCCAGUGCCUCAGCAGCCUCAUUUUCGGGGACGUGCCAGCUCAUUUUCUGGUCUGUUUUGUGGUGUGGCAACAGCCUCGAAUCACAGCAGCCUGAACAGCCCAGUAAAUAUUUACACAAACCUGGGGCUGGCAGGCCCUCUCCUUUGUGGGGCUGCCCUGCUGAAAGGGAGGGGAGCCAGGCCGGCUCAGUCCCAGCUCGGCGCAGAUGGUGCCUGCAGCACGCAGUUCUUGCGGGGACGCAGCCGGGAUGCAGACGUGGGCUUUUGAAGCCCCCGGCAAAAGCUGGUGGCCGCUCCUGGCUGGGGUUCUGUGGUCUUGUGUCUGGAAAUGUGGCCUGGGAACAUCCCUGAGGUCUCCCCAGAACAGCAAGGAUUGUCUUCUUUCUUAUGCUCUUCAUCAAUGCACAGGCAGCCCUCUGAAGUCCUCAGAAUGCUCCAGAUCUGGACAGUCACCUCCCAGCUGGGCUCUGGUGCUCUGGAAAUCAGAAACAGGUUUCUUAUGUGGUUCAUUUUUCUCCAUUUCCAGGCAUUUUUAUUGUUAUUCUUAUUAACAAAUGACAUCAUCACUGCCAGUCAUAGUAAGUGUAUAAAAGUGCAUUUAUGGGGCAUAUCCAUUGAGGCGUUCCCAGGACAGAGACGGGCCAGGGAGGCCAGAGUUCUCCGCCUUCAGCAAAGGCAGCCAUGAGUCAGUCAUAAGUUAGGGUGACAGGCGCCUGGCGUCACAGGAGACCUCAGGCCACGGUCACAGGGAGAACUGGGCAUCAUCACCGGGCGCCUGGCCUGUGUGCCCCCAUCCAACCAGCCCGAGCUAUGAGCUCCUCAUAACCAGCAGCCCGAAACCAGAGAGGACUAACAUCUACACCUCCUCUACACCCAACAGGGACAGCUCACAGCGCCCAGGGCUCAAUGGAGACCAGAUGUUUGGGAGAGGUGGGAGAGGACAUGGGGUGAGGCCUGCUGCUUCUCCAGUGAAUAAGGUGGCUGGAAUUAGGAUUAAAUUUGUAAGGGAAUGUUUGGGCCAGAGGACCCACCAUUUCUGCGGUCUGUAUCUCCCCCAACACCCCAAAUGUCCAACAAGGACACAGAGCCCAGGAAAAAGCCGGGCUCAGGGAGGAGACUCGGAGGGCAGGUCACAUACCUGCUGGUGGAAAGCCAGGCAGGAACCCUGUGUGGCCAUGACAUCAGCACGGAAAGGCCCCUGGACCUCAGCCUGUCCCCACUGCAUGGCAGGCAAGAAGCAGCAGCCCAGAGGUGGCCCCACGUUAGGGCCAGAGUCCCAGUGUGGCUCCCAUCUCCUGGGGCAGCUCAUGGCACUAGCCAGAAAAGCCCAGUCGGGGGAUCCAGGGGCUCAUGAGACAUGAGACAUUUGCUUCUUCCCUUGGACACUCCCUUCUAGGAACAGGGUGAGCUGGAGAGAGGCAACAGAGCAGGAGCAGGGAGCACUGAGGGUGGCUCCGCCUGAGGGUACAGCACACGUCCAGGGCUGUCUGCACACUAUUUCUCCCUCUCUUCUCACUCCCAAUUUAGAACAAGUGCCCAGGGGAAGAAAGAAGAAAAGAGAUGCUGCUCCUGCUGCCUGUGCCUCCUCCUUCCAGAGUGCUCUGCAGGGCAGGCUGCAGGCAGGGCCUUGUCACCCUGGCACCCUCCAGUUCUCCAUCUCUACCACUCCAUCUGGACCCGUGCGCCAGCUGGUAUCCAGGACCCCAACCUUUCCCUCUCCGUAAACGGGUCCGUGCAAAUUCAUGGCCCCAGCCCAUAAAGAACAGGGUGUUUCCGUCUCUUAGGCCUCAAAUGUUUUAAAUGCACAGAAAGAGAUAGUGAGUGUUCAGGGUGUCUCUGCUGCAUGCAUUCAGCAGGAGCUACCAUGGCCGACCUGGGCACCACACUUCAGAUAUGUGGCUCUGCACAGUACAAGAGAUUGGGCCAGUCAUCAUGUCCUACAAACACACAGCACGGAGGCAUUACCUACACCACAAACCCACAGGUGCUCAGGGACAAAUGUUUAAGCUACUGAGGCUGCACCAAGCUCAAACACAGAUGGCAUCUUUCAGAUCACCAGAGGCAGUGUCCACCAGACAUGCAAUUCCUCUGCAGGAGUCAGACCCCAGGUCACCCAGCUUGCUGGGAGGGUUCCUCCGGGGCAGAGGGAGACAUGCCCAAGUCAGACUGGGGAACACCAGCAGUUGACUUCCGUAGCGUUUGCCACCAGUACCAUCUUCCUCUGUAACUGUAUCUUCCCAACUUCUUGUGAAUAUCUCCACCAGAUGUUCCAUCAGCACUUAAAACUCACAUUUCAACACUUGAUCUGAAUUCCUCCAAAUCCCACUUCUUCCCCUGGGCACCUUGAUUCGGUGCUGGCACCACCAUCCACCAGGCAGCCAGAACCAAACUUUGGGCUUCUUCUCACUCUCAUGCUCCCAUGCAAACCACUGUGAAGUCAGGUCAUUGCUCUCUCUGAACUGUCUCCUAAAAUCACCCCUUUUCCCAAUUUCUACCCCUAACUCUCAAGGGAACCCCUCAUCCCCAUCCAUUUUGGCCAGUCUGCCUGGCACACCCUCACCCACGAUCCUUCCUGCAGCACAGAGCUUUCAUACCCUACUCAAGUAUCCAGCACAGGGAAGUUCUUUCCUCCUGGGUGUGGAGCCCAUCAGCACCCGGGUGAGUGUCGAGCCCACCUCCAUGGCACCCUUCUCUCUUGAGUCCCAGACAAACCAAGUGCUCCCAGCUGCCACCUGGCCCUGCUUUUCUGCCCUGCCCUUUGCUCAAGCCAUUUGCACUCAAAGUGACCUGUCCUUCAGGCCCAGCCUGCAUCAGACACACUCUUUCCCAGACCCAGCCCGCAACAGACACACUCUUUCCAAAUCUACAGCAGAGGAGGCCUGGAAGUUGGGUCUGGCUGCUCCAUCCAGGGGUCUUUGCCAAGCAGAUGCUUGACCCUCCUGGGGGGCCCCACUGGCCCCUCCUCCUCUAGUCUACCUAGUGCACCUGUGGUCUCAGAGUCCUCCACACCCAAAUCACCUCCAAGAAUCAAAACUGAAAUUGGGGAAGAAACAGUUCGCAUGCUUCUGAGGGAAAGAACCUAUCCCUCUAGUUCCCAAAUGUGUAGUCAACCCUGCCCGAGGGCUCCUGGAGAGAAGGGGAGGGAAGGGACGUCUGGACACAGGUCUCUUGUUGCACCCGAAGGCCCUGAGUCCAAAUACAGUCUCACUGGGAGCUGGGACUUCAGCGCAGGACUGGGGGGCGCCAUUCAGUCCACGAGAUCUGCAGCAUGUAGGGAGGGUGAGGUCGGGGAGCAGGCAGAGGCUUGUGCCCAGGCUGCAAAGUUUCUCAGCCUGUUGGGCAGGGAUACAGCUUUAAACAAAGAAGUCCAGUCAAGAGCCCUGGCUGCUGGCACAGAUCACCACACUGGAGAUGUGACACGCCACCUCGCCAUGGCGUCUGCCACUGAGAACGUCCCAAGCCAGGCCCUAACCCGCCUGCCUGGGUUUUUCACCCCGGGCUCUCUUCAGGGCCAUAACCUCUUGGGAUGGAUAAUGAAUGUUCAUUGAUUUUUAUUAGUAUGUGAAAACAAACACAUCUUAAGUAAUAAAUAAUGUAUUUAAAGUUAUCUAUGGUUGAAGUAUGUAUUACAAGGUCCAUUUACAUAUGAUCUUUAAAAAUAUUCCUAUAAUUUCCUCAUUUGGCAAGUGUUAUAUGCACUUUACUCCACUUUCAAAGUAAAUGUAAGAAAAACCCAUGGCUCAUCAAUACUUUUGAAGCAAACGACUAUUUUCUAUUUUAUUUAAGGACUGAGUGUAUGUUAGAAAAUCAAAUUACUUGCAUGUACUAUGUCUCCAAAUGACUUUUAUGAUCCAAAGUUUAGAAUAUUUUUAUUCAGAUGUUUAAAUAUCUGCUUCUCUAGAGAUCAUAUUUUGUUCCCAAACGGUGCAAGGGACUUUGAGACAUGUCUGAAACUCUUUCCAAACAGCACAUUGAUGGUGUGACAGCUCAUAUUCACAGUCAGCAAAAAGCAAAAUGGCUAUGACUACCAUUCUAUUUCCCCUUUUGUCCAUUGGAUGUGAGGGACAUCUUGACAUGUUAUGGAGGCAUCUUGCUAAAUGACUGACGUGUUAUGUAGGCAUCUUAUUAAAUGAUUGACAUGUUGUGCAGGCAUCUUGCUAAGUGAUUGACAUGUUAUGUAGGCAUCUUGUUAAAUGGAUGCAACUUAGAGACAUCCUGAGAUUUAUUUGCAGAA